AGCGACAGGCCUAACACAUGCAAGUCGAGGGGCAGCACAAGGAGCAAUCUGAGGUGGCGACCGGCGCACGGGUGAGUAACACGUAUGCAACCUGCCUGUAAGCGGGGGAUAACCCGUUGAAAGACGGACUAAUACCGCAUAAUACUAAAUUACUGCAUGGUAAUUAUUUAAACAUUUAUGGCUUACAGAUGGGCAUGCGCAUGAUUAGCUAGUUGGAGAGGUAACGGCUCCCCAAGGCAACGAUCAUUAGGGGUUCUGAGAGGAAGGUCCCCCACACUGGUACUGAGACACGGACCAGACUCCUACGGGAGGCAGCAGUGAGGAAUAUUGGUCAAUGGACGAGAGUCUGAACCAGCCAAGUCGCGUGCAGGAAGAAUGUCCUUAAUGGAUUGUAAACUGCUUUUGCAGGGGAAUAAAGUGCAUCACGUGUGAUGUUUUGUAUGUACUCUGCGAAUAAGGAUCGGCUAACUCCGUGCCAGCAGCAGC
rnacentral:rRNA from 1 species